rnacentral:snRNA from 1 species
AUCACAGAACUCAGCUCAUUACGCUUUAAUUUUUCGCCUUUUACUAAAGAUUACCGUGGGCUGGGUUUACCAAUGUGAAUUAUUAAAAUUUUUGCAGGAUUCUUUUGAAUCCUCUCAC